rnacentral:rRNA from 1 species
AUUGAACGCUGGCGGCAGGCCUAACACAUGCAAGUCGAGCGGAUGAAGGGAGCUUGCUCCUGGAUUCAGCGGCGGACGGGUGAGUAAUGCCUAGGAAUCUGCCUGGUAGUGGGGGAUAACGUCCGGAAACGGGCGCUAAUACCGCAUACGUCCUGAGGGAGAAAGUGGGGGAUCUUCGGACCUCACGCUAUCAGAUGAGCCUAGGUCGGAUUAGCUAGUUGGUGGGGUAAAGGCCUACCAAGGCGACGAUCCAUAACUGGUCUGAGAGGAUGAUCAGUCACACUGGAACUGAGACACGGUCCAGACUCCUACGGGAGGCAGCAGUGGGGAAUAUUGGACAAUGGGCGAAAGCCUGAUCCAGCCAUGCCGCGUGUGUGAAGAAGGUCUUCGGAUUGUAAAGCACUUUAAGUUGGGAGGAAGGGCAGUAAGUUAAUACCUUGCUGUUUUGACGUUACCAGCAGAAUAAGCACCGGCUAACUUCGUG